GAAACUGGCAGGCUAGAGUCUUGUAGAGGGGGGUAGAAUUCCAGGUGUAGCGGUGAAAUGCGUAGAGAUCUGGAGGAAUACCGGAGGCGAAGGCGGCCCCCUGGACAAAGACUGACGCUCAGGUGCGAAAGCGUGGGGAGCAAACAGGAUUAGAUACCCUGGUAGUCCACGCCGUAAACGAUGUCGAUUUGGAGGUUGUGCCCUUGAGGCGUGGCUUCCGGAGCUAACGCGUUAAAUCGACCGCCUGGGGAGUACGGCCGCAAGGUUAAAACUCAAAUGAAUUGACGGGGGCCCGCACAAGCGGUGGAGGAUGUGGUUUAAUUCGAUGCAACGCGAAGAACCUUACCUGGUCUUGACAUCCACAGAACUUUCCAGAGAUGGAUUGGUGCCUUCGGGAACUGUGAGACAGGUGCUGCAUGG
rnacentral:rRNA from 1 species